CCGAGAGAUGAACAACCAUGUGUGAUCAACUUGUUCACUGCACGUAGCACGGAGUACCUUUCCUUUCUCCGUGCUACGUAGCGUGUCGUAGCAGGCCAGCCUUUUGUAGUCUCUGUCAGAGUUGAUUCUGAACGGCUGUAAAAUGCCGCUGCCUUUUACAAAGCAGCUAUCACUAGCGAAUAAUAUGGCACACCUCGAAGCUUCUGAAGAAAGGAUUCGGUGUAUCAUCGAGGGAGAAGAGGUUUAGAACGCCGGCCACCUUAUUUGUUGUGGCGUCAAAGCAUGCAACAUUGACGCCGUUGCCAUUCAAGGACUCUGCCUGCAAACGUCCCAUGUUCGAGGGAAGCCUCAUGAGCUGGAGUUCGUUUUUGACGUGAACAGUCGCAUCAAGGGCCACUGCUCCUGCAAGGCCGGAAACUCUGAGCGUUGCAAACAUAU